rnacentral:rRNA from 1 species
GCGAUGUUUGAUCCUGGCUCAGGACGAACGCUGGCGGCGUGCCUAAUACAUGCAAGUCGAGCGGACUGAUGCAGAGCUUGCUCUGUUGAUGUCAGCGGCGGACGGGUGAGUAACACGUGGGUAACCUGCCUGACAGACUGGGAUAACGCUUGGAAACGAGUGCUAAUACCAGAUAGUCUUUUAAACCGCAUGGUUUGAAAGGGAAAGAAGCUAUCGCUUCACUGUCAGAUGGACCCGCGGCGCAUUAGCUAGUUGGUGAGGUAAUGGCUCACCAAGGCGACGAUGCGUAGCCGACCUGAGAGGGUGACCGGCCACACUGGGACUGAGACACGGCCCAGACUCCUACGGGAGGCAGCAGUAGGGAAUCUUCCGCAAUGGGCGCAAGCCUGACGGAGCAACGCCGCGUGAGUGAUGAAGGCCUUCGGGUUGUAAAACUCUGUCUUCUGUGAAGAACAAGCCUGUGAGUGGAAAGCUCAGGCCUUGACGGUAACAGAGGAGGAAGCCCCGGCUAACUACGUGCCAGCAGCCGCGGUAAUA